rnacentral:misc_RNA from 1 species
GCGUCCGUUUCCUUUGGCCUCGCCCGCUCGGCUUUCAUCUAAGCACGCGGCGGGCAAGGCGCGAUGAGGUGUCGUCCUCGCGGGCGUCCCUUGAAGUGGCGAACCCCCCCCCCCCCCCC